CGCACAGUGGCCUUGUCCUCUUAAGCUGGUGUGGAAGUGGCCCAGGCUCUGUGACUUUCCUUUCAAUCAGCACCUGGGUUUGAGCCCGCCUGGAGCUCUGACUGACAGGCAGGUGUAUCAGCCAGUCACACUGGGGGCUGUGACAAGCAGUCCCAGGCUCUGUUGACAGUGGGACUCUCCUCAGGUCUCAGGACCAGAUCCCUCCAACUGUGGGUGACACUGAGUACUCCAAGACCGGGCCUCUGCAGCUUCCAUGGGGAGGAGGAGGACAGGUAGUUUGUCAGAGACUGACCACUUCAGUUUGGAAGUGACAGUACAUCUUUCUGAUCCCAAAGCUGGACAUUUGGCCUGACCUGUAUGCGGUCUGGUGGAGGGCAAGUGCAGUCCUUGCUGGACCCCCACCUAUGGGGCCAGGCUGCUCAUGUGUGCUGAUGACAGCUCACCAUCUCCACCCUGGGCCUUUGGGGCCAGCUGAGUGGCCUUGGUGCAUAGGGAUAGCUCUGUGCCCCGGAUUUCCUGACUUCUAAAUGAGCAGCGCAAACCCACUGUGGGGUCUGGCGUGACCGUACCAGCACUGUGCCCUCAGGGCCGGGGUGUGAGCAUCCAGCCUGUGGUGGUCACACUGGGCCCACGUUGACGGGAGAGCCUGCAGACUGACUUGGGAAGAGCAGCUGAAGGACCACGGCCGUCACCCCAGCCACCGCCGUCACCCUGGCCCUGGAGAGAGCUACCUUCUACUGCUAUUUCUGAAUUUUGGCAUUGAAAACCACAAAGGCUACAUGUGCCACUCUUGGCCUCAGGGGGUGCCAUGCUGUGUGCUGGGCCCUUGGUACAGAACCCGAGGGCUGGUGUGCCACCUCUCUGACACCCAUGCACCAUGCAGAGCCCCAGGUGAAGAGCUGCUGUGACCUUCGGAGCCAGAGUCCAGGGCCUGUUCACGGUAGAGCCAGGAGCCCAAGGUUGCAGCGGCACCCGAGGACCCCUCUCCAGGCCACGUCCCCAGAACAGAGGCUGCCCAUGGCCAGUGCUGGCCGCGUCUCGGCUGCGAGGAUACGAGUCUGGGCGUAACGUGUCCUGUGUGCUCACGUGGCAAAAGGUAUCGGGAAAUGACAAGCGAAAGAGAGAAGAGGUGUGGAAGGGACGUGGAAUUCUAGAGUCGCAGGAUCCAGGACGGAUCUUGCUCAGGCUGUCGAUUAAGACGGUGAAGCAGGGGUGGUGGUGGCGGGGGCGGGGGCUUCCACGGGGCCUGUCUAACCUCAUACUUGAAUUUGCCAGAUCAGGAAGCCUGGGUAUUCACACAAUAGCCCUGGGAGAGUGAGCCAAGUGUCCGUCAGUGGACGAGUGGACAGACAGAACAGCCACCCGUGAAAUGGACCACUGUUCAGCCUUAAAGACAAGGAAAUUCCGACACCUGCUGUGGCCUGGGAGAACCCUGAGGACCUUGCACUGUGUGAAACGCCCAAUUGCUGAAGGAAGUGCCCUGUAGUCCCAUCUAUGGGGGGUCCCUGGGGUCACUGCUGUCCGAGAGACAGG
rnacentral:lncRNA from 1 species